UGAAUAAGACAAUACCUGAUGGUUCACAAGCGGCUGAGUAUUCAUUCCAUAAGGGCUUAUUCGAUCCAAUCGUACCACAUAAUCUUUUAAAACCCGUUCUGAGUGAGUUAUUUCAGCUCCACGGUUUCUUUCCCUUGAAUCAAACUUCAAUCGAUCAAGUAGAGCAUUAAAUCCAGUUUUUUUUUGGC